UUUUAUAUGUAACAAAACAAAAAGUGGGAGAAAUUUUAAAGGGAGGAAAGUUAUCAUUUAUAAAUUCAUAGUAACUAAGGGCAAGCAGGUAAUGUCCUAGCACUCUUGGCAAAGUUAGUGGAAUUCCAACUAGGCAUCCGUUUUGCUUAUUCUGACCCCCGUAUGCUUUUUCAUGUACUUGUUUUCGUAUAUCAUUAGUAUCUCAUAUGAUAUACAAAGAACUUUGUUAAGCUGGCUGACAUUUUCUUUUUGCUCAAUUCAAAUUCCCUUCUCCCCUCUUAGUUUCUCUCUCCUCAGGUGUGCUUCCUCUGUUGCUCACCGUCCUUCCUCAGUCCCUCGCAUUGUCUGUCGUCAUACAUUACCCUAAAUUCUAGCUCGUUUUGCAGCAUUUGGUCGUUUUCUGUGGGCGUGUCGGGGUGUUGAAGAACACUCCCUUUUAGCCGAGUUGAAGAACCCUCCAAACAAGGCUCUGUGAAGCCUGUAAAGGCAUCAUCUUCUAAAGGACUUGCCCCUGUCCCUAAGAACAAAACAAAUGCUAAGAACGUGAAAUGCAAGGAAUAUAAUCAAUGUGAGGAUCAGUAUGAGGAGGAAGAUGACUAAGGUUCAUCAUGUGGAUGAGGAAGAAGAUCAACAAUCUAGCUCUAAAAUAUUUAAGGGACUUUUGAUGCAGUUCUUAAAGAGAGAUAGUAAGAAGAGGAAGUCAGAACAUAAUGUUAAAGGUUCAUUGAAAAUGGCAAAGGUUGAUGUAUGUAGGUUGAAAAGGCCCAAGGACAGAGAGUGUGUGCUAGGGGUGAGGUGAUAAAGACACACUUUGAGAAUGUUGAGAAGUAGCCGAAUAUCAUGUGUAGAGUGGAAUCAUUCUGUCUUGAAGUUGAGAAGUUUGACAAUGACCGGCGACAGUUAGUUAGAAGGAUGGGUUUUGAAGGGUUGUUGAGUUUGGAUAUGAAGAAUAUUCCACGGCAGUUCUGUUAUUGGUUGAUGACUAGAGUAAGAGGUGAUGGAACUAUGGUUUUUGGUGAUGGAGGAAUAUUGUCGUUGGGUUCAAAACAAGUUUCUUCAGUACUUGGUAUACCUAUGGGACCUAAUCCAGUACCAACACAUAUGGAUAUGGAUUGUGUGGAGGAGUUAGAGAAGCUAAAAAGGAUCAUUGAAAUGUAUGAAGCUGGGGCUAAGAAGGAUACCAUAUCCUUGGCUGCUGCUUCAAAAGUAAUGUGUCCUAUUGAAAGUUUUGGUAAAUAGAGAAGUUGGAGGAUGAGCAAGAUGAAGAUGAUUUCAUGACUGCUUUUAUAAUAGUGGUACUUAGAAAACUAAUAUGCACAACAACAAAUAGCUCUAACAUGGCAACGUCUCUAGUUCCUGCUGUGACAGUUGCCUCUAGAGCAACUGAUUAUGACUGGUGGUCUUUUACGAUGACAUGGCUUCGUGAUACCGCUGCACGAUUUAAAAAAAAAAAAGUUUUUAAGGGACCGUUUUCGAUCUGGUUGUGGUGGUAGUGAUGUGUUCCUUCUGAUUUUCUACCUAGAUCAUCUUGAAGUUCGGGGCGCCGUUGCUGAUGAUCGAGUUUCAAGGGAGAAUUAUGGUCGGUUGUUGCCCAUAGAUAUUGCUUAUGGUGAGCCUCAUCCCACGGUUUCCAGGGAAGGGAGUGGCAAAGGUGGGGGAGGCCUUAAAGAAACGGUUGAGGACAAUGAUGUAGUUUAUAAUGUUAUGCAGCAGGUUAUGACACGGCUCAAUUCUACACUGGUUACCCUUAUCUAGGGUAUUGUUGGAAAAGUCAUCGGAGGUGUUGCUGUUGGUGGUGGUGGUGGGUCAUAUGUGACUGAUGGUGGUAACCGAAUUGAAGAGCAUAACACCGCAAGCAACAACAAAGUUAGCCUGUAUACGUCGGGGCCUAAUUAGGUGUUGAUAGAUGGUGAGGAGGAGUCGCAACAACUUGAUGAUAAUGCAACUAUAGGUGAAGAUGACAUUGGUCUGAAGUCGAAAGCAGUAGAUGGUGUUGAUCGCAUUGGCAAGCAGCUUUUGACAAACGAUUGGUGAAUGUUGUCAGCGGGUGGAAGGACCAUAAGGAUGAAAAUUAUUAAGGACCUUUAACCCCCAAUAACUAAUUGUGUUUAAUGUUUUCAUAUUAUUAGUUAAAGUCUAAACUUAUGGUAUGUUUGUUGUCCGAGGUCGUCACUGAUUGAGUGCCAAAAUAUGGAUGCUACCUAAAGACAUUGUUAUCAGCUCAUUGUUGGGAGAGCCCGGCUUGGCGAUCAAUAUGUUCGCAUGGCAUCUGUGUUGUACACAACAUAAUGGAAUGAAACAAAAUUUUCACUACUAGACAAACAGAUUAUGUUGGAACCCAAUUAUGCGGUUAGGAUGUUCUAUGUAUUUCUGUGCAUUUGCAGAUUUUAUCCCUUUUUGUCUGGGUGAAUUGGUGGUUUAAAAUUAUGAAAUUGUGUACGUUGUCUUCUUUGUUUUGGUUAUUUUGUGUUGUAGACGAUGUUAAUGCUCAAGCAAAACGAGUAUGAGGACUUAGCUUGGACGUAUGGGACGGUUUUCCUUUCCUUCUCG